ensembl:lncRNA
ACAGAUUUUACUGAUGUCUAUGCAGUUAAUCAUAAUCUUCAUUUUAAGCUUGUGCCUAAAAUUCAAUCCCAUUUUAAGUUUUGAUGUUAAUAAAAAUGCUUUGCGGGAUCAAGCCAAUAAUUCAUAAGCAUAUUUAUAACUAUUAUUUCCCAAUUCAUUCAAUCUCCAACCUAUUCUUAUUGGCAAGGAGAGGCCUAGAGUUUUCUGUAGAUUUGUACAACCAAGAUCUCCCUUCAGUUCCUCUUUGAUAGGAUUGGAUUGAUUAACUAUGCUACUGCUUAUAUUGCUGUACCUGCCAAGUAUACGGCAAUGUAGAAAUAGGAAAAAUCAUCCUGAUGUGAACAUGUGGACAAUAGAGAAUGCCAGAACAAAUUUCAUCCCUGUACAUGUAACAAUUCCCAUUUCAUUUUGGUUCAGGACACUAGAAUUUAAGAUGUACCCCCUAGACAAACAAAGAAAAUGCCAGUUUCUAAUUCAAGAUGGCCAUUUCUUAUAAAAAACACUUUGAGAAUACUUACCAGGAAAUAGUGUUACUUGAAGAGUAAAUUGCAUUAUUUUUUUUUUCUCCAACAGAGUUCUAUCUGCCCUAUUUUCACAAAGGUAAGUAAGGCAGAAUGGAGACAGCUUAUUUUUGGGGAUCUUGGGAUCUUGUCUUAGGAUUAGGAUACUAAAAUGAAGGCUCAAAUUUAUGCUUGUGUUAUGAACAUAACAGAGUUGGAGAAGACAGAAUACUGCAAGGCAGGGUAAUAUUUUUUUUUCUGUUUCUUUCCAACUUGAUGUUGCAUUUGGAGAAAUGCUGAUGAGUGUCAGUGAAGGAUUAGAAAAAAGGUGAGCCUCUAUAUUGGAAAGCAAACUCUCUUCUCCCUUUUCCAUCCCAUUUUACAUAUCCAUCAGUGAUUCUCUAGAUACACACCUGGAAACUUUAGUCAUGAACCUAUUAUCCUAUAUGGAUGUCCUUGAAUUUCAGUGAAAUUUUUCUUGUGGAUAUACUCAAGGAAUUGAAUCGGGCAAUGUCAGAAAAUGAAAACUUAUGUAGCCAUUCUCUUUGGAGCAUGAUCAUUUAAAUAGCAUGUAAAUCUAUUUUUUCCCUGCUGUUUGUAGUAUCAGUAACAUCCUCAGAAGGUGGUACUGAGAGUAGAUCUGAAAUUAGGAAUGUAUAUUGCAUAGGGAAUAUCAUUAACUAUUUGCUAUUUAUCCCAAUCUCGUGGAAAAAAACCUGAACACAGUUAAUACUGACAAACUUGUAGGUAAGAGUUCAAAUCAAAUCCUGAGAGCAACUACUGGACUUUGAAUGAUUUGGAGCAGAGCUUGGAGCAGUAUUUCAUACUCACUUCUUAUAGCCAUAGUGGAUCAAAUCAGAAGUCUGUUUCAUAUUUUCUUUGAAUUAUGUGAGUUCGAAAUCCUGAUCAUAACGUUGCUACUCAGUGGAUAUGUAUUCAUUGGCAUUAGCAUUUCUGAAUGGAUUAACUCAGCCAUUGUGAAAAACAGAUUCUGCAGUUUACUUAAAGAUAAGCAUGAGCAGCGUCAGGUCAAACAUUUUGGAAAUUUCCCAACAGAAAAGGCUCGCUCAUGGAAACUAAAUGUUCUGUAGAAAAGCUGUGAAUUUGAUGAAACUAUUGAAAAGAAGCCAGCAGGCAUUUGACCAAAAUCUUGCUAUUUUUCUGUCAGUUCACCUAUCUUUCUUUCCCCUCCUAGGCAAUAUCAGCCUCCAUGGGCUUGCAGAAGGACUGGGAAAAAGAAAACAACAACAAGGUGAGUUUCGGGCUCCUGGGCAGCAUGUUUUGGGCUAUUGUUCUAGUAGCUUGAACUGACAGUAUCUGACUGUCCUUCAGAUGAGGUACUGUAGAAGUUUCGAAUGUGUUUUCAACAACAAAUACGAGAUUUUCACAGUGUUUAUAUGUGUGAGUGGACUAUUCAGCAGAGGCAAGCAAUCGUUUCACAGAUCUCCAAACAAUCAUUAGAUGGAAAUAAAUGUCACUAGUUAUUGAGUGAUGCUAGAUAUGAUCUCAUGACCUAGAAGUCAUGGAAAGCUUUUUAUAUAAACCAUUUUCUCAAGCAAAAUUAUGCCACAAAAAAGAAUAGGCUUAUUUUUCAUCAUCUCUAUUUAUUAUAACCAUUAUUAACUUGUUCCUUGAUAACUUGAUUUAUGAAGUUUGUGACAAAUUGCUUGCUUAAUUGAAAUAUGUCAGGUUUCUAAAUAUUGAAGUUAAUUAUUCCUCCUUUUCCAGUGGAAACUGACCUUUAAUUGUACAAUAUUAAUCCACAUAUUGUAUGAAUUAUGUGAAAUACCCAUUUUCUAUGUAGAGAGAAGUAUGCAUGUGUUAUUGUAGUGGAGUACAGUUACACAAUUAUUUUUAAUUUAGGAUAUCAGUUUAAUUAAAUACUUGCAGAAACCAAGAUUUUUCAGGAAAUUUGCAAUUACAAUCAAUUUGAAUGUACUGCUAAAUUAAUAUGGUGACAAGCCUAAUAAUAAAAACUAACUAAGUAAUUAUGGGCAGGUGCUGAACAGAUGUGUAAAUAGAAGGUCUCUGCAUGGGACUUUGUUAUAUAUCAUUUUGAAAAGCAAAAGAAACCUGUUAUCCAUAGCCAUUCAUAUACGCAGUUAUAAUCAGUCACAAAAAAAGUUAGUUCUUUGAAUUUAGAUAAAUCAUUUAAAAAUGUAUAUGGCACUUAUGCUUUCAUUUUCUGUUUCUGGAAAGAAAGUCCAGUUGAUUGAAGACUGCUGCUCUACUGUACUCAAAGUCUGCCGCAGUACUAAAAUAUAUUCUUCUUUCAACACAUGUAUGAUGAGUGGGUUUUGAGUUGGAAUGAUUUAACAGUCCAAACAAUUCACAUUCCAUAUUACAAGUUAAACUUUAUUUAAAGAAGUGUGUGUGGGGGAGAAAGCUAAGACUAGUUUAGAGUUGUUUGCUCAAGUUAUUAAAUUGCCAAAAGCCCAAUUCAAUCUCAAAGUAGUUGGAAAACAGUGAAGUUGCAUUACUACUAUGAUGUCUUUUAGAUGGAUUUACAGGGUGCUCUUUUCUUUUAUUUCUGCAAACCAGCUUAUAAAAAUACACCUUUUCAGGUCUUUUAUUUUUGUGAGAGAUCUCUUCUUGUGCACUGUUAGAAACAAUCAUAUCUGUGAUGUAAGCACUUAAGUGAAACUGAAGUAGUUUCUGUAACAUUCAUAUAGAAAUCUCAAGGACAAACUGGCACCUGAGGAAAGAUGCACGUGAACCAGCCCCCUGGUAGGAUGGGGAUCCUCUGCGCCUUCUGGGGAGAUUAAACAAUGUCUGAGCUCCAGACUCCAAGAUACUCAAGCAGCCUGUGGAAAAUGAAAACCAGAGCAAUACUUGUUUCCUAGGAAAAAAUGAACAAAUUAAAAUGAGUGGGGAGGACAGACCCACCUCAGUUUUAGAGUGGAAAGAAAUCCUCAGGAAGCUCUGCUGUGCUCCAUCCCUGACAAAGGCUCUUUAUACUCAACAAGCCUCAGCUACUGGGCAGGAGAUGUUUAUUGUAAUGAAAGACUCUUCAGAAAGUUUGGAACACAAAGAUUUUAUCUUUGUCAGGGGAACACCUAGUGGUUAGUUAACCUUUGAAUAGGACUUCUAAGACAAUGACAACUGCAGGAUUUGGUGCUGUAUGUGGUCUGGAUUUUAUUACAUGAAACACAAGGCAACAUACAAAAUAAACCUCUAAAGUUCUGACAUGGAGAGAUUUUGCUUGUCCUUUCCAAAAGAAAGUUGCCUGAAUUUCCUUCACCCUCAUGGCCAGCCACACAUACCUUCUCCUAGCUGAGCUUGGAUACCCUUUGCAGCUGCUCCCAUACUGUCUCAGUUCUUCCAUGCUCACUGUCUGAGAAAGGCAAAAAAGGAGUUUUCAGAAAAAAAAAAAGGUUUACUCCACAGGUGCAGAGAACCAUGAACUGGCUUAACCCUGGCAGCAGUGCAGAGAUAGCCCUGGUGACCCACAUGCAUUAGCACCAGCACCAGGAGCAGGAGUGCUGCUUCACCACGGUGCUGAACUGACCUCCAAUAUCCCUGCCUUUCUGCACUGUGCAUGACUUCACAGUGAGCUGGUUAAUGUUAGGAUGGGAAUCUUUGCAACACAGUUGGCAUAGAUCAGACAGUAAGCGCUGAGGUAGCUUUGGCCCCUCUGAAAGUCUUUAAGUGACCGGAGUGCUUGUGUCUUCUGUGCCCUCAGCAGAGAAGCCAUUGCCUCCAGCUGCAUUUUCACUGUGUGGGAAUUGUUUGAACUCACCACUGUUGCCACAGCUGCUAAAGGAAAACAUGUAGUUAAAGAUGAGGCUGUGCAUACAUUAUAGAUAUAGGCAUAUGGCUGUCAAGCUGCUGCCCAACAACUUCCAUAGUUAUAUGGCACCUUAUGUUAUCCAAAGCACUUGAAAUUUUUUAGAUAACAAAAGCAAACCAAGACAGCUAUUAUGGCUUUGUGCUGCACUUGCUUCCUGAUAGAGUUGCCAAUCCAGUACUUUGAAUUCUGUGCCAGCAGCUUUGACACAAGUGAAAGAGCAAGCUGUGCUUUUAACAGAUGCAAAUGCUUUAGUUGCAGUGAUCAUUGCUUUCUCAAAAUCAUUAUCACAUAUGUGGGAUUUCAUAUUCAUACUUUUUCAAAGCAGCAACGUUCAGAUGAUUAGAGCAACAUUUUCUUAGCACCAGUAGAUUUUUAAGGAGCAUAAGCAACUGACAUUAUCUUGACUCAAGCAAGCAUUUUACUAUCCCACCAGUGCUUCUGCUGAACAGACACACAACACAUGGUUGGCACUGUUGGAAAUCUUGCAUAGUGCCACCACUGUGCCAUACCAGCAAUGAGCCAUACUGAUGGAUUUCUAGGAAUCUGCAGUCUUCUCUGAUUACAGGGGAAUAAGGACAAACAAAACAGUGUUAAGCCAGCAUUAAGUUACUGGCUUAGAUAUUCUCGAUUUGAGAAUAGCUCAUCACCUUUCUCUAUUUUUCCGUAUCUCUUUGUGUCAAGGGUACAGCUUCUGAAAAAGCGUGAAGUUUCUUGCUUUGUUUGAACAAGGUUACCACAAAAGUACAAGAAUUUGAUACCAUCAACGUAGUUCUUUUAAUGGCAAUUUCAGCAGCAGCAAACACAUGGAAAAGUCAUUAUGUCUGUGAAAGCAACAAAUACAAUCCAGAGAUACUGUUGUGCAUAAGACUCCCUUCCACCAGAAGACCAAGUCUGUUUUUUUUUCUGCCAUUAAACACAUACAAUGUUAAUUCUAAGCCCCUGUUUUGUACAGGCAGGAUCUGGCAAAUUUUGGCACCAUAUACUAUUCAUCAAAGAAAGAAACAGUCCAGACCUUGUAAAGCCUUGACUCUGAAAGUGUGUGUGCUCAGAUUUAAGUAGUAUAUGAUGUGAAGCCCAGUGCAAGAGAAGGUUACUCUGAAGAACCAUAGAGGUUUUGCUCUGAGUGUUCCAUGGAAUGGGAGCAGAUCUCAGUGUAAUUUCUUGAUCAUGCACAUCCAUGAUUAAAACAAAGCACAGAUGCUUAAAACAAAAGACUGGGAAUGAGAAAAAAAUCAUUUUUCUAUCCUAAUUUUGAAGCUUUUCUUAAAAUGAAGAAAAAAAAAAACCUCAACAGAUCUGCAUAUGUUAUAUAUAAAAACAACAACGAAAAACCCAAACAAGUUGCCUUAAUUUUUAACUCUUCUUCAGUAUUGCUCCUUCCCACAAACUUUGCCAUCCGCACUGCAGUAAUUGCAAUGUGACAGUCAGCAAAGAUUCUCCAAAACAUCCUUUUUGGUAGGAAAAGAAAAAGAGAGUUCAGGAAAAUUGUGCUCUACUGUUGAAGAAAAUUCAUAUCAUAGAAUACAAAGACUGUCUUGGGCAGAGGCUUUGGUCACUGUCUGAUGCAGGUAGCUGGCCGAGUGGCUGUGCUCUCAGCAGCUUGCUCCCCUUCUCUUUUCCUCUUUUUUCCUCCCUCUUCAUUUCCAUAUCUCCACAAAUGUUAUUUUUUCACAUUCACAUCACCAUCUCCAAAUGCAUUUGCACAGAGACACAUAAGGAUAUAAAAUAGUGUCCCCAUAAUUUAUUUCUAUCUGAUCAGGGCACUGUCAAUUCCUUGGAGAUUGUUCUGGCACAAGUCUCAAGCAAAACAAAGAAGCAGUUCCCUCUUCUUACAUUUUUCUUUUGUUAAAAAUGUUAUAAAAUGUAGACUGCACAUACCAGGUGCAAAAUACCUUUGAAAGAAGUGGAGGGUUUGUCCCUAGAAAAAAGACAUUUUUGGAGGGCAUAAAUUGUCCCUGAACCAAAUGUUUUUAUGCCAUCCACAGUAGCUGGACUUGAUGACCUUAGUAGGUCCCUUCCAUCCGGACUAUUCUAUUUUAGAAAGCAGAUGUUGGUCUUUAUAGGGUUUCCUUGUCCAGCUUAAUCACCAGACAAAUUAAUGGCUUUUCUAUCAUUUUCUUAUUGCAGAGCCCAGUGAAUAAUCUGGUAUGAAAACUGAUAGCAGUAGCACAUGGUGUCUGCUAGUACAUAUGAACUGUGUCAUUGUGGACCAUAGCUUCAUCUCUCCCUAGCUGCACCUUGUGUCACCUCAAUAUCAUGCAGGGCCUCUCAGAGGAGAUGACAGCAUGCCAGAUGAAAGUGUUGGGCAGGAUGCUGGCUCAGGAGCCCCCACACUUAUUCUUCAGCCUGCAGAGUUCACCUAUGGGUGCACAGUAGCCAGAACAGGCUCACAUUUUAAGCCAUACAGAGCCUGAAACAAGCUUGUAAUCGGGGCAUUCACAUUUAACUUAAGGUGAACUCAUCCUAUCACAUCUCUGCUGAUCCAAAAAUAAAGACUUUAACUUACAGGCACUAUUUUCAAUUAAUGUAGUUUUUCCUUGAUAAAUGCAGUGAGAUGCAGGAAGGAUCUGUUUGCAGUUUUAAUUACACUCAGUGUACACACAUAUAUCUACCUCUGGUGAUUCCAGAAGCACUCAUUAUUUGUUCAUUAUUCUAAUGACACAACCACACAUAGGUUACUUUAAAAUAAGGUAAGAUUUUGAGUGUCCAAGACACUUGGACACCUUAGAUACUCAGAAUGUCUCUUAUCCCCUACUAGGUGCUUUUCACCUGGGGCUCCCGCAGAUCGUGUACACAAAGCUACUCCCAGAAUAUCCAUCUAUAAGCCAAGAAAACAAACCAACUUCUGAUCCUCUAAAACAUUCAAUAUGUAUUGCAACACUGAGGUAUCUGGCUGACAAAAACCAUUAGGUAAGGCUUUCAAGCUCCAGAGGAUAAAGUCUGCUACUAGAUUAUUUCUAUCAUGAUUAGACCAACAUCUGGCUUUCAGCUUCUCUCAUGACAGCACUGUGGUUGGGGCGCUACUUUAACUUGCAUUUUCAUAAGCUACACUGUUCAGUGAUUUAUAUCAAUCUGCUUUUAUUCACAUUGUGCCAAAAUUAACCAACUGUAAUUGCCACCCAGGGCAGGCCGUCUUCUGAAAAGGAAAUAAAUGAAAUUAGUUAUCAGGGCAGGAAGCAGCUGCCUGGCUAUGAAGUGGAAGAGCAAUCUGUGCACUAGUUUAGACUCACCCCUGUCAUGCAAGUGAAGGAGCAUGGCAGUAAUGGGGAGAAAACAAAACGGAAGAGUCCAGGAUGUCAUCUUUCUCCACUCCUCCUCUCAAUUUUUAUUCUGUGCAUUUUCAGUGGCAAAGAAAUGAAAACAUCUUUAUUUUUGUUUAACUUCUCAGAAACUCUAUUUACAAUUCAAAAAUGUAACUUCAAAUCUGAAACAAAGUACUUCCUCUCUCUUUCUCCCAUGAUUUCAGUUUGUCAGCAAAAAUACACCCAUAAACCCAUCAUGUUCACAUAUGUGCAUACAGCAUCCAAACCACACUGUGCUCUGCAAUGUGGUGAGAGCUUUUGCAUAGCUGAAGAGGGAAAAGAAAUGGGAUCUGAAAGGUGGGAAACCUUCCGAGCAUGUCAUUUCCCUUUCUGUACUUCAGAUCUCAAACUGACUGAAGCCAGAGAGCAAGUUUCUAGCAGCUUCAGUAAGCUUUGGAACAGGCUCUACUGAUGGAGCUAGAAGCAGAUAUUAAGUUACAUCAGCUUCAUAAUAGCUGCCAAAUUUUUUUUAACUAGGAAAUAUUAGCAAACGUGAUAACACAGUGAAAUGUGGUGACAAUAGGAAUACUGUUCAUAUCUUGUUCAUUCAAGUUAUGAAACAAAGUAGAAAAUGCUAUUAAAACCAUGUGGUGAUCUUUAAAGUAUCUGGCUUUUCUUAAAGCUACUCUCAUUUUGCAAGAUCAAAGGUAAAGUGAAAUCUUUACAAAUCAUUUUGUUGAUUAGACAAUGGUGAUACAGAUUUUGCAGUAUGCAUGAAGGGGUGAAGGAGCCUGAUUUUCAUUCUGGUGCUGCAGAAAUGGAGGAGAAGGGGAUAGGGGUGCGGAAAAGGAAAGAAGGAGAGCCUUUGUUCCCACCUUAGUUCUUUCCACUGCACAGAUCUGUCACAGAAGUGGACUCUUGGAGAUCUUCCCUGGUGGGGAAGAAGGAGGUUAUCACACAGCUAACUGACUUCAGAGCUGAAAAGAAAACCACCACACAAGACCAGCCCUGAAAUACAACCAGCGUAGCCAGUAAUCAGUAACAGCUUUCUCCUUCAGCUGAAGAUACAAGAAACCCACAGCAUGUUUUCAGUAACAGUUUUGAUGCAUGCCUUGCUAUCAAGCUGCUCAAAGAGAAACCGAGGGCCCAAAACUGCAUGGCUAUAACCCAUGCCUUACAGAGCUAGAUCCUAUAAUCCCACUGAUGUAUCUUCCUUUUUUUGUAUGGUCAAAGGUUUGCCAGAUAAAGUCUGAUUUAUUGUUUAUGCUUCUAUAAUUACCUCAUGGAAGUUAAGCCCUUAGAUCUACCACACACCUCCUCUUGUAACACCACACCUAUUCUUUCCUCUUUCUCUCUUUCUGUCGGCUCACAUCUUUACUUCUCAUGUCUACAUUCUUUGAUGUUCAAACCACUGUCACAAUUAAUGUGUGCCUGACAAGGGCAGGAAGGCAGGGAAACGAUUCCCACUCACUGUUCUCUCCUCAUUUGCUCCUUUUCUUCUCUGCAUUCAGAAAGCGAGUGAGUGACAGCUAGCCCAGAGUGCUGCUUGUACACAUCUAUUGAGGAAUGGGAACGCUUAGCAGAGUAGUAGAGCAGAUGGAAUGAAGAGCCCCAGACAAACUCACUAUAGCCCGAUAGGGCACCUUCUACCUUCAGGUCAGCCAACAAAAGACACCAGUGAAAAAGGUGUGCCUACAAUCCUCCCUGAGGCUCUUCAAAACACAAGAAUAACAAAAGAGCGGAGGUUGAUACUAAUAUCAUCAUACUAAUGUCUGCUAUCUCGGAAGUAUUCUUUAUGGUCAUUAUUUAAGGGAGCCUUAGAUGUUAUUUUCCAAGUCCAGCAAAUGUAGCUUUGAAGGAGCUUCCUCUUUUGGGUGGGAGGAUAGACUCAGUGAAGUGACAUUUGGCAGAUAAAUGAGAAAGCUGAAGCUCUGCCCAAGUAGAAGUGAAAACUAAUCUCAGAACAAAGAGCAAAUUUUAUUUAGUCCUAAACAAGCUAUGAACAAUCUGCAGAUAGUAUGACCUAAUACUUGCCAAAAAUGUGAUUACUAAUUUUGUAGGCAUGAUGCUGAACCUGGUUUAGAAAAGUAUUCUAUAAACAAAGACAUCAUAGCCAUACUUGGGAAAAAAGCUCUGUUACUGAAGCGCUCAGCACAGCCACGCACCAUCACUGAUGGGCAUACAGGGCAAAUUUUCAAGGACACAGCAUCAGCUCUUCUCUGCUUCCUGGGAACUAGAGGUGCCAUUCCUGCUGACUGACUUCUGAAGUUGAAACAGGCCAAUGUGAAUCAAUUUUUACAAGAUUACAUACACACAAAGAGAACUUCUGGCUUUACCCAGCAAGAACUUGAAGUGGGUCACAGUCUGUAACCCGAAAAUUGAGACAUUUUGGAAAACGUAGCAAGACUAUGCAAAAGCAUGUCAUAUAUAUGCUGUCAUAUAUAAAUUGUGUUGUAUAUUUUAGUCUGAAGCAUGAGCGGUGUCCAUAUGAGGGGUGUUCUCAUAAUUUGUCAGCAAAUUCCAGUUAUGGCGGUAUACACCCUCAGGCUGUGGCUGUAUGACUGAGUUGUUUCAGCAUGACAAGUUGCCAAAUCAUAAUAUCUGACUCUGUUUCAAGCCGCAGCAGAUAAGAAGUGGUUGCUCCUUAUUUAGUCCAUAGUAAAGGAAAGUAUACACAGAAUUUUCUGACUCAGAAAGCCCAAUGAGCAGUGAAUAUUUGGCAUAUACUUAACAAAUACAUUACGUAAUCUCAGUAAAAUGCCUCUUGAAAUUCAUUUUAAUUGCAAAUUCAUGGGUUGAAGUGCUUAUGCCACAUGAAAAGUGCUUUUUACCACAUGGCACUCAGGACUUUAUUCAUCCUGCAUUGCAUUUAGACACAACUGUAGGCAUAUAUCUGCAGGGGAAAGUGCCUCUGGAUUUAGUUAAUUUGCUACAAUAACACUGCAUUUCAGAGGUAAGUAAUUCAUAUAGUGAAGCCCUUAUUUCACAACACUUUGCUAAUACCUUUCAUUUAGAGUGUUUAAAAUAUCUGUACAAAGUCCUCAUCUUUAUUAUAGUCUGAGUGAUCAUCUGAGGAGCCUCCCUUUGCAUAAGAAAGUGCUGCUUAUUAGGGCAUGCUGAAAAUCUACUGUGGAUUUUGUCAGAGAGGUUUGAGAAUUGGUACAAAUUGGUAUAGAGCACCUGGAUGUAAAUCAACUGCAAGUCCUCCAAGUUCUGGCACAGAGCUUCAGUUGAAUGAAUUUUCUUAGCUGAGAAUUGCUCCCAGAUCAAAAAUGCAGCCUUUGGAGCAAGCACAGCAAAAAUGUUACUAGCAGAGAGAUAACAUCUAAAUCAAUGACGAGUGCCCAGCAUAUAUGACCACCUUAUAGUUAAAAUAAGAAAGAAGGAUUUUUAUUAGUUUUACAAUUGUGACUAAUAUUUUCAAGUAAUGCCAAAUGUUUUACAGAUGUUUAUAUGAACAAAUGCCGACUACAGCAUGCUGCAGCCCAGAACAGACCCAAACACUUUGGAGAAAUCCAGAUCAGAACUCCGCAGUCAGCCUUCCUGCAAACCUAAUCACAAACAGCAAAACACUGUAAGUAAUACUGAGCCAAUACAAAAUCCUACAUGCAAUUCAAGGCUUGCAGGACAUUGCAAACUCUGCUGACAGCUUCUUGUGAAGGUCUGAACCAGUCUUCUGUAUCUUAAAGCAACAGAGCCCUCGGAAAGUCCUGAAGCUGGACAUGCAAAAUGGAAUCUUGUUAAAGUGCUGGCAGGGAAUGGUUCUGAUGUCAUAGAUGCUAUGUGCUGCAUUAAAUUGCUUUGCACGUCACACAUCUACAGAAAAGAAGACAUAUCACGUGAUGAAUGUGAUGUUUUAAAAGCGGGAAUAUGGAAAAGCAGUUUGAAAGUGAUCUUGUGUUCUUGGGCUAAACUGGCAGAGAUUAACUUGUACAACUUCAAACAAGGACACUUUUGCCAACUGAGAAUAAUAAAUAUGAGGCUCUUGGAAGAGCAAUACGACAGAACACCACAUGUCUCUCAGUUGACUUCUAUAAAUAAGACAUAGCCAAGAGAUAUUUCCAAGUGUUUUCAACAGUCUAACUGUCCUCUUGAGGAUGUAUCUCACCAAUUCCACUUGGGACAAGACUCAGCAGACCAGAAAAGUUUAUUGUAAGGAAACUGUUUAAAAUAUGAAGUCCAAAUUUUCCAUCUUUCUUUUUCCAAACUGACAUCUUAAAGUUCAGUGAAGCAUUAUGUCACAUGUAUGAAUUUUUAAGCAUUCUGUUGAAGUAAUGCAUUUCUGAUUAUGGAAGUACAGAAGAGAAACAUGACAAAACUGAAAAUGAAUCCAUGUUCCAUGUUAUAGUCUUCUAUACCACUCAGAUGUCUACUUUUAUAGAUCUGCAAUUCCUUAUUGAUUUUCAUCUGAUACAGUAGAACAGCUCAGGUAGCAUCCUGUAUCAAGAUGGAAGAAUCGUAAUGCACUGUGGAGGUUCAUGCUUCAAAUGGCAUAUACAUAGCUCUAUUUCUUGACCCAGAACUUGGGAUGUAGAUGUCUUCUUCAAAAUUGCUGUUUUAAACUCUCAGCAGAAUAUUGCAUGCUAUGAUCUUGAUUUUGUCACUGGUACCAUUUGAGGCAAUUUCAACAUGAACUAGAUUUACUCAAACUUUGGUAUCAGAUGACUUCAUGUUUCCCAUUACAUAAGGGAAAUAUCAGCAGAUAAUUGGAAAAGCCUAGAUAAAUAUCUUGCUAGUAAGACAAACAGUGACAAUUACCCAUUUUCCAGGUGAGAUCAGGAAUGAUCAAGAGCAGAACAGGAUUCAAAUAGGAUUAGAAAUACAUAAGAAUAAUAACACAAUUAUGUUAGACAGGAAAAAAAAAAUGAUAUAAAAGCACUCAUAUGAAACAAUGAGCUCCUCUGGCUAACAGUCCUUUGUAACAUUCAGUGGCUUAAUGAUGGUCCAAGUAUUAUGGGAUAGCUCAGGCUGUGCAGGACACGCUGCAGAGCUGAGUCUUUGCUAUGGAAAGAACCUCCUGUUUGAAACUACUUUUCUAUAACCACUCAUUAUGAGCAUUUAUUAGGCUUAGGGCAGCUUGUCACUCCCAGAAACAAGGUGCUGGAGGCAGCACUAUACUGAUUGUAAAAAAAAUAAUGCUGCUGAAAGCAACAGUCUUUAAGAAAAAGCAAAAAAUGACCUACUUCCAUGUGGACACAGAGAUAGAUAUGAGCUGCCAGUUUAUACAACUAGCUCUGUGCUUCUGUGGAAAGGACAAGGUUUCAAGGACAGAAAGGCUAGAUAGAGGCAGGGAAGAUGGGUGCAAAGCCAUCUUCCAUUGCAAGAAUGAUUUCUUUCAAAACAAAACCUAUCUCUAGGGGUAGGAAAAUUCUGCUUUGCUGAUUGGUUUGAGAAACUGCAAACUGGCUCUGCUGGAACAAGAAUAGUCAGAAAUUUUGUCCAGAAUUUGUGUGCUGCACAUGUCUGAGCAAACUGGUGUGGCAUCUGUUAACCUGAGAGAAAUCUUUCUCUCCUCAGAGAAAUUUUAAGAUUCAUUCAUCUGAUGUACAAACCUAUCUACAGUAAAAAAAGAAAUACAAAUUCAUCUUUAGUGAAGGGAGAGUUUCUUUUCCCCAGCUCUUUUAUAGUUCUGAGAUGAUAAAUCUGUGAGUCCUUGCAGAAAUUGAGUGCCUUAGUGUUGCUGCAGUUUUUUUCUUUUUUUUUUUCUUUUCUUUUUUUUUACAGAAACUCAAAGUCAUUUGGAGUAAUUUUGCUGCUGAAUAAAAGCAGCUUAUAAGUCUGAAAUCUGAGGUUCUAAAUUGCAAUAGUUCAGAGUUUACUUUAUAUGCUGUUUUUUUUUUUACUCUAAGCUCCCAUUUAAGACAGUGAAAAUGAGCUAGAUUGAUGGAUAUUUUAUGCCAUACUCAUGUAAUUAAUAUUUAAGUAUGUUAAACAGAAUAAGGAGAACCAAUAAUAGUUAAAAGAAUAUGGACUUACAAAGCAAUUUGGAACACUAUAAUGCUAUAUUUUAUUACACUGUAAAGAAUAUGUGGGGUUUGCUGAUACUGCUGAAAAUGACAGGCUUUAUUUAUCUUAGGAAAAGUACAGUACAUCCUGGUAGCAUCUGUUAGGUCAUCUUGUUCACUUUGUGCUUUUUCCAUUAAUGUGGCCUCAGCCUGUCUGGGGAGACACAGUAGACAGGAAGAGGCUUUUAAGACUCUGUGCCCUUAUUCACAUUUUUGAAGGUUGCUAGUUGUGCUAAAGGCACCUGUCUUCAAAAAACAAAAAUAGCUUCAAGUGCAUAUACUUGUGUGAACACCAACACAUUUAAUUUAUCUAAUACAUAUCCUACUGUCAUCUAUUCAACUAAAAAUUUGAAGCAAUCUGAAAUAAUUCUACUAGGUAACAGCACCGCUGUGCUACCAACAACUUAACAAUAUGUGUGUAAACACAUAUGUGUAUGUGUGUGUGUGUGUGUUUGCGUGCAUACGCAUGCAUGUGUAUCAUGGAGAAGAAAAUCUGUGAAUGUAGGGCUCUGCCAUACAAGGUGAGCUAUAAGGAGAUGGCUUUGCUGACUCACAUAUCAACAGGAACCUUUGCAGACAAAGAUGCAACUUUGAUUUGCAGGCAAAGAGAUAAGAAACAACAGUAAGAAUGGUAUCCACUCUUACAUCUGCUUUGGGCAAUUCCAGCUAAACCUGUAACAUCUGUUCAUUUCGAAGAUAUUUUGGUGGCAGCUUGUACCGAAAAGAUAAUGAGAUAGAUGAGAUUCCAGUAGAUAAAGGGGAAGAGGUGCAUUUACAUGAUUCGUUUUCCUCCUGGAAAUAUUUAUUUCUAAACAAGAAGCAAAAAGCCUCACUGGGAUUAUCAUGUGGCCAUUUCAGCAGCAUUACACACCACAUCUACAGUCUUUAAAAACAAAUAAUAAGAUGCAAUAUGGCAACUUCAAUGUCAUCUUUGAUAAUUUACUCUUUAGUCAAAACUAUAAACACAUAUUUUUUUCCCCGUUGCUUGAUAUCACAGCACCUUUGCAAAGCUAAAAUAAUCUCUUAGUACCACUUCAUAGGCCUGAGAUCUUCAGGAAAUUCACAUACUAUAGGGUCUUCAAUGGCUACACUGUCACAAGCAUCCUCAAUAUAGUGUAGUGCACUUGAAGCAGACUCAGAAAGAAGCACAGCCCCUUCUGCCUCCCCCUUGGGCACCUUGAUCUCACCGCCAGGGAACAGUCACCUGUGCCACUCUUCCCCCACACUUUUGUUCAGUGUUCAGCCCCCACCCACACUGAUCUUAAUCUCCAUCAGGCAGAAGGCCGGAUACAGGAACUCAAUGGAUACUGUUACUAUGGCCAUUACCAUUGCUUGCAAGUGGCUGUUCUUAACUACACUUGCAAUGCAGACUCUUCUUUCUGCAAACAAUGUCGGUUUACGUCCAGCAUUACUGCGCUGGACAAGAAAUAUAUCAACCUGAGACCUAACUUUAGCAGUCCCCUAAAUAUAUCCCCAUCUGAUGCGGAAGACCAUAGUGUUUAAUAAGAUCAGAAGAGAGCCUGUUUCACAUAGCAAGACCUUGCAGCAAGCAGGGAAAGCAUGGCAGAGUUUUAGGUAAGUGGGAUAUAAUUAGCCUUGUUGGAAUUUGACCAGGAUAUCAGGGUUAACACCCCUGCUCCUGUGAGAAGUGCUCUGGGAGCUCCUCAGUAGUGAGCAGUCAGGACCUCUUGUUUUCAUCACAUUCCAGGCAUGACAUGACGGCUGCCCAAAUGCACAUCACCUUAACAAAAUGGAAAUACACAUACAACACUUACAAUUUAUAAUGAAGUGUGGGCAUAAUCCAAGAAUACAUGAAUUUAGGUUUGUAAAAUAUCAAGAAUGAAAGAAGAGUUCUGAAUUCUGGUUCAGGGCCUCAGCUACUGGGAUGCAGUGAAAACAAAAUCAGUCCCUGGAAAACCUGUGGAGCCCAUGUACUUCUUGAACUGCUCGGUCAAUCCAUAGUUGACCAUUGAGUCUAGAGGCUGGCAUUUCUUGCAUAUGGCUUUUAUGUCACCUGCACAACUCCCUUUGGGAACUGCUCUGGUGACCAUCACCAUGCAGUGCUCCAGACCAUGCAAGGGGUUGAUCACGUGGGCAGGAGUCCCAGUAAUUUUGUCACUCAGGAUGUCUUGCCCAGAUGCUUCCCCUGCAUGUGUCUUUCAGCUCCUUAUAUCCUGAUCUCACAUGAGCUGCUCUAACUCUUCUGUAUCAGCUGGUCUCCUUCCUGAGGUCUCUUCUAGCCUCAAGAUUUUAUUACUUUCCUAUGAGUCAUACAUACCAAGGAUUGGUGCAGUCUGCCCUACGCAGGAAGGCUGCAGGGCCGAACAGCUGCUGGUGGGAGGAAUGAAGCCUCUUUAAUUCCUCCAGUAAAUCUCUGCUUGCUACUAGCAACUAGCAGAGAUGUGGGGAAAAAUGACCAAUAAUUUUACACUGAUUUAUGUAUGGGCAGAAAGAUUUGUUUCAUACCCAUAUUUUCUGUAACCCAGACUGAUUAAGUUGGGUGAACUGCGUUCAUCUGAGUUCAAAUUAGUAUACUUCUCACCAGAAAUUUUCAAGCAACUCAAUUAUUUCUCCACAGACAAUAAACUGUGAACAUUGGUAGAAUUCAGAUAUUCCUAUAUUAUACAUGCCCAUAUGUUGAACACAGAAACAGAAUAGAUCAUUUCUCUCCCAGAUGUAUCUCCUUCCAGGUAACAAGAAUGCAUUGCUUGUAAUAAUAUUCCAGGGCAAUACGAUUAGACAAAUUCCUGCACUCUAAAUAGUGACUUUAAAUUUACCUUUCUGUUUUUAUUAGCUCACUUUUUCUUAGUCCAGUAUUUUUGUUUUACAAGAAAAAUGACGCUUCUCUUUCUGACCUCAGGCUACCCAAAUUCAAACAGAGCUACGGGUUAAUAGCUAAAUGAAGAAAAGAUUGACAGAAUGAUUCACAUCCAUUUUGAUGCCUCAUCAUCUUUGAAUUAUUGUCCAAGUCAGGCAUAGGUGAUGCCUAGCAGUGAAAUACUGGCAAUGAGCGCUCAGGUAACAUUCUAGUAGCUCUGUUCAGCUCCACAUGAGGAAGGAAUAUGACUUUUUUAUCACUGAAAUUAACAGAAAAUUCCACUGAUGUAACUAGUCAGAAACAUUUUUUAAUUGCCUUUGAAUAGCAGAGUGAAUGUGAAUUUUUUUUUUUUUUUUUUUGAUUUUAUGCCAAGAAGUGUUUUGGAGACUAGCUGUAGGCAUUAUAUGUCAUGACAAACAUUUUCCUAUGUGGUUAUGAGAAAACAAGACUGACACACCUACCUGUUGGAAACAGGCUACGCAGAAGAUAUCUCCUCCCUUGUGGCUUUGAGCAGCAGAAGAGAUCAGGGAUCCCACAUGGACUUGUGUAUCAUUGCAGACUCACUGCAUCCUCCUCCAGGUGGAAGGAGCCUGGGAGAAAAAUGGGGCUUCACAGGUCUGCCCAUGCUCCCCAGGAGGGUGAGGACAUGUAUUCAGCUCAAAGAAGUCAUUCCCUGCUUUUCAGCCCCAUGGCUCUUUUUACAAAGACCAGUUCCCUGUGGGUGUGGUGACAGUCACUCAUCCAGGUGGUUUGCAGGAACUCAGCAAAUGCACAGCCUGGACCCCCUCACCAUUGCUGGUUGUCUGCCACAGCUACCCCCCUGGCACUAGUGAGUUCAGCUCUCUCAUGCACCAGAAAGGGACAGCAAAGCUAGGCAGCCUGGUUGGAAACAUCUGGGUGACAACACAAAGUAGAACGUACAUACAUUCUGGCAUAGGGACCACGCUUUCUUUUAUGUUUGUGUAGCAACCAGCAUAAUGCUGACACUCAAUAAAUACUAGAUAACACAAAGCCCUGAUGGGAGGCAGAAAAUGUUAUGUGUUUGCUUUAAUUCCUGUAUUCUGCAUUUCCUUAAGGGCAUUUGACAGCAAGCUGUAAAUAGCAGGGCCUGGGCAGGGCACGGGGCAGGAGAAUGGGAGCACCACAGUGUUGGUCCCUGUUUACCUUCAUGGCCUGAGGCAAGUUGCUUAGUGUGACUCCAUAUCAAUUUCCGCUCGUGCAAAGUGGGGAUAAUACUCACUUUCCCCUUUCCAGGGGAAUAAUCAGUCAGUUUGCACAGUGCUAGAAAAAUCUAAAAAUACUUCCAGAGCAUAAUGUUAUUUCUUCCCCGGAAAUCCCUAGAAUAACACGUUUAAAAAUGACAACAUAUCAGGGGGGAAAAAAAAAAGUAUUUACUAUAUUUCCAUGUCCAUAGAUGUGUUACAUAACAGGAGACUUCACCACUGAUACACUGAUACUAUCAAAGCCCAGAUAACUCGCACAGAAAGGGCAAAUUGGAAAAACACAAAGGGUGAGGUGUUCUGGUUCUUGAGUAAAGUGGAAUACAUCUACCCACAUACAUUUUUUUCCUCCACAAAGAAUACUGGGACAGUGGAUUUCGCUCCCAGAUUUUUCUAUGUAAAACAUUUUUUGAAAAUUCAAAUAAUUUGAAAUAGGUCGUGGACCACCUGUGCAAGCAAGUGAACUGUAUUUUUACAAAGCAUAAUUAUAUCUACUCACAGAUGGUACUCUGGUUAUUAGAAAACUAGUUCUGCUUUAAGGUUUAGUGCUCAGGAUUAAAGACAGCACUGUAUAACUUAAAAGAUUUAAGAAUUAUACUGUAGGAAGUGAGGCUAUAAUAAGCUUUAGAUCAACAGUUCAUAUAGCAUCAUGGGAUUCUCAGCCGCCCAAGAGAGAGUCCUAAUACACUGUAACCUACGACUUUCCUCUUGAAACGUCUUAGUUCUAUGAAGCAAUAAACCAGUCUGGACUAAGUUACUAAAGGUCUUUGAAGUACUGGAAAGACCCAUAAAUAAGGUGAGUACUUUGGGAGGGGGGGCUCAUUUUGUGGUGUACAUAUACAGCUAUUUCAUAGUCAAGUUGAUUUGUAGCUGCCUGUAAGUAAGUUUCCUGGGAGCAAUAAAUCUUCAUUCAAGUAAAACUAAAGUGUCACCAGUAUUUAUUUUGUGCAUUUUUUACUCCAUCAUGAAAAAAAUAGUCAGCAUUCAUGUAAACUGUUCUAUGCCCAACUUGCAGCUCUGCACUAAAAUUAGGGUGCCUAGUAUGAAAUUGUUAUAAAUCUAAGUUGUAAACAUUGGGUAACAGAUGUACCACUGCAUUGCCAAAAAAGAGUGGUAACUGUCACUGAAGAAAUAAAACUGAGUUAUUGUUUCCAGUUUCAAAAGAACAGCAACAAGUCUAAAAAACUAUAUGUGAUCUUUGUCCUUUUUUCCCCUCAGACACCUGCACUCAUCUAAUGUUUCACUGAGCCCUGAAAAAUAAAUGCAUAGCUUCAGUCUCCUAAUCCAUGUGGCUCCAGAGACCACUGUUACAUGAGAACUUAAACUGAUGAUGCUGAGCGUCCUAGGGGCAGCUUAAUCUUUUUUAAUUCAAAUCAACUGAGUCCCAUGUGGCGCUAGGAUGAUACUCUAUAUGCUGCAAUCAGACUGACCUAGACUUCUUGUGCUCUAAAUGAUUAAUGAAACUGCCUCCUAGUUUGUUUCUAUGGUGAUCUGAAACUUGACACGAUAUAGGAAUCUGCCAUUCAUGCUGAAUGAAUCGAGGAGGAGGUAGCUCAGGAACAGAACUCCAUCAGUUGUUCAGAAGAGGCUGAAUUUUUAGUCAUUAGUCUCCUUGUACUUGGAUUGUUGACUCUUGAAAAUAAGAGUGAGAUAAAGUAUCCUAGUUAAUAUAUCCUUAAUUGAGUAGUCUACUAGUCAAUGGUUUCAAUAUUAAUAGUCUUGUAUGAAAUGAAAAUAGUCUUAUAUUUUCUCUUUUGAUAGGAAAAUGCAAGAACAGUACUUACAGCAGGUUGCAGCUCGCUAUGAGGAAUUCAAUGGUCAAAGCUCUGCAAUGCCUCUAAAUACUGCUACUGAUGAUCUAGGAAAAAUACGUUACUAAACAUCUGCUUUUAGAUUUUAUUGAAUCCAUAGAUAAGUCUUCAAAAUCCCUGCAUCUUUGGAUUUUGAUACUGCCAUAAGGAGUGAUUUACUUCAAAUGUUGCGAGGCUUCCAGAGCCAGUCUUCUUUUUACUUUCACUUCCAGAAGAAGAACAUCUCAAAAUGUUUAAAUAUUUUAGAUAGUUCUUGAACCACUGAAGGGUAUCAUGCUUGGGCCUACCUGUAUUGUUAAGACAAAAAAUAACUUGGGAGAGCAUUGGUGAGCUAGCUUAGCUACUUUGCUAGCCACAACACCAUAAAACUCAGCCCAAACCAGCUUCUGCCUGAAUUGUCACUCUUGUUGCAGCCCACGCUGGAUGCAUAGAUACAGUGCUAGCUUCAGCCAGUCAUUAAAGCUGAUUCAGUCAUGCUGCUGCUGUAACCAGGAUGCCUUUAGAUCCUCCAUCCUUUCUCCUGCUCCCAGGCCAACACACUGGAGUACUCAAUGAGUCAAACCUCAGUGACCACCUAAAGAAGAGUAAGGGUAAAUACACACAGAGCUGUUCUGAAGAUGGUGAGAACAGGGAACCUCUAAAGCUUUCUGGUACUCUCUUUUCCUUAGGAAAAGUCUUUACUGCCUUCCUUCCAAAAUCUUGACUACUGAACUAUUUUUCUUUCCACCAAAGCCUACUUUUUCCAUCAACACUGGGAGAGAUACUAUUACUUUCUUCCUUCUCACAUUUUUUUAAAGGAGAGAUUGUUACUCUGCGUAUUUUCCUCUGGUGAGGCAAUCCCAGCACUGAUCUCAGCAUCUCUCAACAGCCUUUCAGGAGGGCAUAGCACAUCCGAAUCAUCUCAUCACUUCAUCUGGAAUCAAUCACUGUAGGUCCACCAAUGUCAAGAAAACUAUGCUCAUUUGCAUCAGCAUGUGACCUGGUUCUAUCUUUCUAUGAUCUUUAGAUCAGCAGUGUUUCCAUUGGGAUUCAUGGUCUCAGAGGAGUCUUCAUCUACUUUCUAACACAUUGAAAGUGUGUCUGCCAUUUUUCUUUCCAAUCAUAGAACACAUUGUACCUACUAACUCAAAUCUGCCACACAUCAAAUUCUUUUAACAUGGCUUUGGUACAGUUUUCUUACUAUUGUAUGUGUAUUCAGACUUUGCAAACUGUAUAAAUGACAUUAUACUUAGUAAACCAGUUAACUUUGUAGAUGUGAAGUACUUAAUUUCCAGGAUUUUGAAACGACUCUAAAAUACUUAACAUUUUCAAGUGUGACCCAAUAGACUUUUCACCUUGUUUUUCUUCAAAUCAGCUUGAAAAUUCUGGCUUGUAAUAUUGCCAGAUAAAAAUUCUAUGACACAAUGGCUUGCAUUUUUUUUCCAAGCUCUAUGUCCUGGGUUCAAACAGCACUGUAAGUACUUCAACUCUUCUCAGAAGAGAAGGCAGGAAGAAAUGGAGAUCCUUUAGGUAUAAGCAUCCAAAUUUGAUAUGCUACUCACAGAUUCAAUUUUUAGACAAUUUUUUUUUUUUGGGGGGGGGGGGGGGGGGAGUAAGUCUGAUCUAUUUCUGAGUAUCUUUAAAUAGCAAAACAACCCCAAGUGUACAGAUCUCACUGAAGUUAUCAGAAAGAUUUUUAGAAAAACAAGUAGUUUUCAUUAUAAAAAAAGUUACUACAUCUUCUGGAGAAUAAGUAAGUGGAAAGAAUGGGCGAAUCCUCAUUUUUGAAAAAGGAACAUGACAAAUGAUGAGGUAUUAUACACUGGAGACAGCAGUCUGAAAUCACUUACAACUGGAAUAUACUUAUAAUACUGUAAACCAGUAAUCACAAAUGAGUAUGGAGCUUAGCAGUCUGGUUAAGAAAAGUCAUUUACCUGCCCCUCUUUUGUACAGUGUCCAACACCCUCACUGCAGCUCCUGGGUGCUCCUGUUGACAGCUGUGGGAUAUCCCAUCCUAGAGCACAGAGUUACACAGCAGAGCAGCAUGUGGAUUUACAGUGACUAAUUAUUUGAAUACGAAUCAACAAUGCAACACUGUGGCAAAACAAGGCAAAUGCUCUGUAUUGAGUCACAUUAAUAAGAAUGUCACGCAUAAAAGAAAUGAAGUAAUUAUUCUGCUCUACUUCACUUGAUAAGCCUCAGUUGGAGCACUGCAUGCUGUUACGAACACCACAAUAAAAAAAGAAAUACAUACUAAUUGGAGAACUCAGAAGAGAACAACAAAAAUGAGCAAUGAUUUGGAAAAUAAUCCUUGUGCGUAUGACUGUUCAUAAACACAUGAAGUGUUAUUAAAAAGGAGCAAUUAUUCUUAUUAUCUUAAUUCUAUACUAAUAUAAAAGAUUCAGCAUGGGAGAAAUUGAAGUGCACAAUGCCAGGAAUAACAUAAGUCAUAGACUGAAGUGCAGUGUAGAAACAAUACUUUCAGAGCAAGAGGUUGAUGAACCACUUGGCAUCACCAUCUGUGGAAGUGGUCCAGACAAGUCUGGACAGUAAAACAGACAAUUUUUUUUUUCCUUCCCCAACUGUUCCUGAAGUUUCCAAAUUUGUCUUCAUUUCCAAUCAGAAAAUAUCUAAAUUCUUUGUAAAGGAAAAUGGCAGGAAUACUGCACACUGACUCGAGUUUUAAGUGCAACAUAAUGUGUUUGCAAUGUAAUCAUCUAUUACAUACUAGAGUUCAAAAUAUUCAAAAUGAAAAAUAAUUUGAAAAGGAAAAAAAUCAAAAUAUUUUAUUCUAAUGGUGACAAAAUGGGACAUAUAUCAAAUGUGAAACAUGAACAUCUUUUCAAACAUGAAAAGAUGCAAAGAGAAAUCAAACAAAAUCAACAUGAUUUCAUUUGAAUUGCACAUUAAAGCUGAACAUGAUUUUAUUUUUUAUUCACUGUUACCAUUAUUAUGAUUUUCUUUUUAUACAAACUUUGAGUCACACAUUCAGAGAGAAAUAUUUAGGAAAGGUACACCUCAUACCUCAGACUUAGAAAGCUACAGAACAACAAAGGAAACAAAAAGCUCUCUAAGUGCUGCUCCUGAAAUGGGAAGGUACUUGGGAGAAGGUACUUUCUAGCCCUUUCAGUUUUUAACAGUUACUGUCUAGUGCAUGCAAAAAACCUGAGAAAGUAUGCAGAUGUAGAAUUUGUGCAGUGCUAUUGAUCAAACAAGAGUGAUUUAACAUAAGACAGUGUUAGUUUUCAGAAGUAAAACUUUCCAAUUUAAAAAUCUUUGUGACUUCCUAGAUUUGUGUACAACAUUUUUUUUUUUUUCAAAUAUCCACUGUAUGCUACUUGAAUAAGCAAAAAAGGGUACAAUACAUCUGUAUAAUACAUAUACUCUGUGUGGUUUUUUGCCCCUCCCAUUUAUGCUGGUUCUUCUUGUGUUCAGAUUGCUAUAUUAGCAAAUUGCCCGUCAGCUCUCCAAGCAUGGCACUCAGCCUUUGCAGCCUUGGGGAUAUCAGUAACACAAAGAUUGCCCCUUGCAAGCUGCAAUGACCUGCGCCCUACAGCUCUAUCUAUCACAUAAAAAUGUACUGCUCCACUACUGUCACUUUUCACAGCUCAAUCUCAAUAUCUCUUUUCAGGUUUCCUGCUGACUGACAAUGUCAGUUACAACAUUUCACACAAUUUUUCUUUUCUAUGUGUGAAAUUGCAUAUCCAAGAACUGUGAAAAGAGAAUCAGCAGGUUUCCAGUACUGUUUCUUGGUGAGGAUGGACAGUUAACCACCACCUAGGAAAGCAAGACCAGGCAACUGCCCCAAGAAAAAAUAAAAGUGUUCUAUGAAUACUUGCUCAUGAUUUUAAACUCUUCUGCUAUGAUUCUGUUCAAACUAUUUGUGUUCUCAGAAAAGCCAGCUCAUAAAAUCUGCUUAUGUUAAGCAAAUUUUGAAAGAUAUUAUCAGAGAUCGUUUCCUAAAUUUCUAACUUGAAGGACUUUUUAUCAGAAAGAUUAUCCUGAGAAUUGCUCUUACCUAGUCAAUUUUAAUUUUGGAUCACUAGCAGUGGAUUACUUACAGACAACCUACUGACAAAGAGUUGUCUCAUAUUUUUGCAGAAAUACCUAAGAAAAUAAGUCAGGUUUGUAAAUAACUCACAAAAUAAAGGAGGAAUGUAUUUAUAGACAACUAUUUCCUCAUUUCUUUUGGAAAACUGGCAGUCAACUGGUCCUGGAAUGACUAGGCAUAAGCAGAGUCCAUGAGGUUACGCCCUUUGUGCCAAAGCUCCAUCCCAGCAAAAACAGCUAAUGGAGAUUACACAUCAGCUGAGACAUACAGGCCAAACAUACAUUUUCUCCCAUACUUCCCCUUUACAAAACUAAACAACCAAAAAAACCCCACAAAAUAAAUAAACAACAAAAAAGAAAAGAAAAUCAACGAGCAAAUCCAAUUUACAGCCGAGUAGAAAUGAAGCAAGGAGUCACUCAAAAAACCUUUUUCAGCUCAUGGAGCAAUCAAUGACUGUCUUUGUCAGAAAGCAAGGUUUAUUUUUAGGUGUGCUUAAAAAGUAGUUGUUCACCUCUGCUCAUGAAUAUGGGCAGUAUCAUGAUGAGUAUUUUCUAACUCUGGGCCACCUCUCCAAGUUACAACCCUGCCAUUCAGAAUGGGAUGCAAAUAGAUUUUUCUCUCAGCUGUGAGGGCAUUCUCUUAGCAACUACCCCAAAUACAGAGAAAUACCAAGAAGGUAUCUUGAAUGUUCUUUUUGCUCCCAUUAAUACCAUCAAACAAUUGGAAAACAAUUGGACAAGAGGCAACUUCUUAACGCUGGCAAGCACUUGUUUGGGAACAUACCUUCUGAAGAAACGAAACAUUAGUUUACAAAUUACAGUGGAAAUGGGAUGUGUCCCAGUGAAAUCCAAUCCCUGCAAUAUCAAAUAAGAAAGACCACUGAAAAAGAUAAAGUCACAUGGUUAAACUUUCUCCCAUCCUUUAAAAUAAUUUUGAAAUAACAUAUCACUAUUACUGGAAAAUUGAUUUUGUAAAACCAUUAAAAUUGUGUUUCUUGCUAGUGUUUGUUCUGAUUAAACUCUAUCCCCUCCCCCUUUUUCCUAAUCUCUUAGCAGUCCUUUCUGGUUGUCAUAACCAGUCAGUAUACCAAAGUUUUAAUCACUAAAUUAUGGUUUACUUUGCAUCAAAUUUCAGGUAGCAUUUAAAUUUAAUUAGGAGAAGUUAGAUAUGUAACGUAUAGCUUCCCAAAGCAACUCUUAGCAUAUGGGACCAGGACUCAUUCACCAGAUAAAAAUAGGUCUUGCUGUCCUUGGCAAGAGUCUGAGGGCUAUAUGUUUACAUGGAUAAACUGCUUUUUUAUAUUUUCUUCAUGUCACCAACAUGAACCACCUCUCCAAUAUUAGACAAAAGAAAAUCCUCACUGAUUCUACGCAGUCUUCAGCAAAAUAUGACAAUUAUGGAUUUAACAUAUCAUGCACUUGUAACAAUUUACAUACAAAUAUUACAAAGUGGGUAAAAGGGUUUUAAUGUUAAUUCAAUAUUUUUUACAUGCUAAGAAACACAUUCAGUAAUAACUUCAUAUUGUACUGAGCUUUUUUCUUUUUUUCUUUCCCCUGUAGAUAACUAAGUAGUAGAGUAGAGCUGCAGGAAGAUGGUUCCACUCACUAACUAUGCAUAGGGAGUACAUGAGUUAUGUAAAUGCCCAUAAGUAGAACUUCAGUACCUCUCCAAAAAAAAAAAAGAUGUUUUUUUAUCUCCUAGAGACUGCUCCUGUUAUAGACUACCUGGCAUAUUGUGGUGGUAGUUUUCUGUGAUAAGUUCCUUCACUCCAAGAUUUGGACGUCCAAGUUUUAGCCAAGACUUGUAUCUAAAAGUCAGUCCAAAAAUAAAAGGUGCAUCUUAGUCCUACUCUUUGGCACAUCCUGAUGACUGAUACAUUUUCCUUUUGCCCUUUGAGCACAAUGAGACUAUUGUAAGCUUUGAUUUUGUAUUAUUCAUCUUUAUACAUGGGUGUCCAGCAUUAAAGGGUCAUUCUGAAGAACUGCCAACAUUUCAUCUUUUGAAUGUAAGAUCUUGCUUGCAUACUACCUUGUUUCCAUGCUCUACAGGAUCAAACUACUUGGCAGAGUAGCAAAUUUGAUUUGCAUUAGGAAGGGAUAUUAGGCAUAUAGGAUUUCACAGUUCAUUUUAUACCCUAAUCAUCAGAAGCCCCUGUUUAGGGUCUGAACCAGAGGGAUUUACUGCCCUCAAAAAAAAAGUCAGUGUAUCCAAUAUCAAAAUAUUUCAGAAUGUUCAUUUUUCAUCUUUCCAAAGUCAGUUAAUGAAAGGUGCAAUUCUAGCGAACAGCCUUUGGUCACAAACCUCUCUAAGCCCUCUUUAGUUUCAUUAGGAGUGAAUUAAUGUAAUGUUAGAUGGUGACAUUUCAGGGUCACUGCACUCCUAUACAUUGCAAUAGAAUGGAUACCCAUUAAAAAUAUUAUCAGACUAAUCCUGCAAAGGGUGAAUCAGAAGCUCAGGAUGCUCAGUACUCCUUAGGGAUUACAGAUUUCUACACAGAUCUCUAAUGACCCAGCUCUGCUAUUCUGGUGCUGAUGCUAACCUUGCUGCUGUGACAGCUCCUUGUUCCUGGUUCUCAGGGAGCUUCGCAAGAAGAUACCAUACCUUCAGGGAGGCAUUGGAACCACCCUCAUUUCUACUGAAGAGGAAAAGAUUACAGAUGGAAAAAAUAAAGUUAUUCAAAUGAUGUGAGGGAAUGUCCUCUCUCUCCUUUUGCUGAGUGACUUCAGAAAAGAAGUGGACUGUGAGCUCUGUAGACAGAACUGCUGGCAUUUUUUCCUGAUAGUUACAAAAAGCCAGGGAAAUAACAAGUAAAGAGUUUCUUGGAUGAGAUUAGCCUGCCACGGUAACAGUGUUUAUUUUACUGACCUAAAUCAUAAUUCUCACCCCUUUCUCUACAGCUAUUGGCAUCUCUAUCUUUGUUAAUGCUAUGCCAAAGUCAAACAGCUUGAACAUUGCUAGUUUUUGCAACUGAGUGUGCCUAAGCCAGAGAUACUGCACCACUGGCAGACCACAAUUCAGUCUUCUGCUGCAACGCACACAACUCUUGGCUCAGUGAGUGCCGCAGAUGUUAAGAUGGUGCAAAGAAUGACACUUGUAUGUCUCCUGGCAUGUUCUUCUGCUCACAUUAGCGAGAUGUGGAGCCUGCUCACUCCUCAGAAUCCUUGAAAAUCCCACUGAAGGAUGUGUAGAAGUCAGUGGACAACACACUGUUUUCAUAAAGAAAAUGCAAGUGCUCCAACCAUAUGUGCUGAUGCUCUGCUCACUUGUGGACCAUCUAGGAGCAGGAUCCAGUGUUUCAGGGUGCUCACAUUCUGACUCCUACCACUGGCUUCUUGCAUGUUUCUGGUGUUCAGACCUCUGUCUGUGAGGGUAAACUUUAAGCCUGAUGACCAGUUUCCUCUUAGUGCACAAACGCAGCAAAGAAGAUCUGCGAGUUGGAUGCUGACCUGAAAGUAAAGCACAGUCACAGGCAACUGUUUUUGCUAGUCAGUUUUUCUGCCUGUGUUAAUUCUCAUCUGAACACUGAGGACUGUGACUGGGAAGUGAACAUGAGCAUCAGAUCUAAGUGUCACUCUUAAUGGAAUCCUAACUCGGAAGGGAUCAACUGGGACGUAACUAAUACCCAUAUGUUGGCACAUACCUCAGGAAAAUUAUCUGCAUUUUAAUUGUAAUAAGCAGGAUUUGUGCUUUAAAGUGACAAAAUAAUAAAGUUUGAUUGUUAUGACUCACUCAGUUGUUAAAUAACAAUCAAGUUGCCAAUAAUUUCACCCAUAUAUAAGUCCUGACAGUCAUUUAAAUAGGAUGUGAUAGUAUGAAUACCAGAUAAAUAUGUUUUACAUGGCAACCCACUGAAGUUCUAUUUUUAUGGUUUUUUUAAAUACUUUGUUCCAAGGUACAUGGUAUAGUAGAAAAUGUUUCUCUGCUUAUUAUAUAUAAUUCUGAUAGUUUUCAGAUAGUUUUCUAUAUCUUUAGUACAGUUUAAGUCUCUAAACUUCACUAGACAUUUUGGUGUGUAUGUAUGAGCAGAUCAAGUGAAAUGAAACUAUGAAUUCCAAACAAACUCAUCUACCAGUUUUCAAAUUAUGCCUAUGCUGGAAGCUAUUGUCCCUUGGACCUGUAGUAUCUAUAAUUCCCAUUAAAAAAAAAUUACACAGCCUGUUUCAAGGCUUAUUUCAGCACAGAAAUCCAAAGUCACUGCUAAGAAACCAUGAGCUCACAGUUCUAUACCACUAGUUAGAUUGGGGCUGCUAUAGAAAAAAAAAGUUAGAUCCCCAGGUCUGAUUCUCUACUCUUAGGAGUAUACAAGUUUUAGAAAAGCUCUGUUCAGGCAGUGCGUUAUCCAUUAUAGUCAUUUCAUACAGGAGAGUUUAUACAGAACUGGUACCCCUACAGCUUCAAACAUAUCCAAAACAGAAAACUUUCAUCUUUUGUUGUUGUUUUGCAGGUGCUCAGUUGGAUAUGCCGUGUUCUUACAACUGCUUAAUUGCAAUUUGGCAGUAGUUUCUAAGCAAUAAUUCUAAACAAUUCGCAAAUUUAAUAUUUUUGUGUAUCAAAAAACUGCUCUCAGUGAAGCACACUCAAAGAACAUGCAUAUUGACUGCUUAGGGCUAAAAUUAAUAAUCACUACUUAUUUAUGCUAACAGUAAUACGUUAUCACUGUGGUUUUGCUUAGACUAGUUUGUGUGAUGUCUGCUCUAUAUCAUGUUAUACAAACAUUCUUUCCCACAAUAUCAUAGUCAUAAAUUUAGUAUAAGAAUAGUGUAAGAGAAGAUAAAACACACUAUUCUUUUGAUUUUGAUUAGUAUGUUUGUUAGGAAAACAUUCAUCCAUUUAAGGUAGUAAAGGAACUCUUUACCUCAAGUACUUCAUAGGCUCACCUCCAAAGUCCUGGAAAUCUGAGAAUAGUGUGGGUUAAUUCAGGAAACAGUGCAUGAGGUACAUACAUACACAGAUUGCAUAUAUACAGCAUGUGAAACAGCCCACAGAGGCUCAGGCAUUAUUUGUUAACAGACACCAACCAUUGGCUUACAGGCCAGGACAGUGAAUAGACUUCUGUGUAAACUGCAAGUAGAGAACUACCGCAUGCUCAUGUUCAGUCCUUGCAAGUUACAUGUUUCAAGGCUAGCUUCUGCCAGUGAACCUACAUAUUGACUGAGUAGGGAGGAGCUCCUGCCAAAAAAUAACUGGUCCUUGGGCAUCUUGUCGGCUAAGGGCCAGUCCUCAAAUGCAAUUUGGGUGUAUAAUUUUUCUGGGAAAAAAAGAGCUCUUAUCUGUACAGAUGUGUUGACCAGCUACACAUAUAGAAAAUAUCUGGUUUACUUUUUAAUUUAGGCAAAGCCAUUGAUGGUUUUCAAUUGGCUGAGUCACAGCACCAUAAAGGUUAGCCAACUUGACGUCAAAACCAGUGGUCCCUCACCUCCCAGCUGUAGCUGAGCAGGUUGGCCAAUGGCUGUGCCAUCCACCAAAAACCCUUCCUAGGGUCUCCAGGAGCUGAGCUGUGGAGAAAGGAGUUACUAGGAGGAAGAGUUUGUGUUGAAAUUAUAUUAUAUAUACAUAUAUAUAUACACACACACACGUAUAGAUAUAUAUGUACACACACACCACACACCUAUAAGCACAUGCACACUUUUAUAAUCUAUAUACACAUAUAUAAUUGUAUUUACAGGAAGCUGAAAGUUCCAAAGCAGAGUUAAAGAGUUAGAUAACACCAAGCAAACAGCUUGAGCCAAGACAUCUGAGCUUACCUUUGGUUUCUAAGACUCCUACGAGUGUUGUUAAUUCAGCAAUUCACAUAUUGCUACUGGACUAUUCCAUUUUACUGAAAUCAAGUGAUAAGGGUUUUGAAAGCCCAUGUCUUUGGAAAGGAAUAUGGCUACUGCAGCAGCCUGAUGAAGACAGAACAUGCACAAGGGAAAACUUCAUACAGCACUCUCCAUGUGGCUUCACUGAGCCACACUUACUGUACACUGUUUCCUCAGAAAGCCCUUCAAAAACAUUUCAGGUAUACUUAUAGGAUAAAUGCACAGCUAGGUCUGUGGCAGAAGACUAAAGUUUAAGAUACCAUAAAUGACUGCUUCCUGGAACAAAUGGCAGGCUAAUCCAUAAGGGGGAGAAGCAAUUUUUUUUUUUUAUUUAGACCUAAAUGAUGCAUGGGACCUGCUUCAAAAUGAACAUUCACUCUUCAAGACUGACCAUAAAGCACUUAAAAUCUACAUUCCUAUAGGAGUGAGAAGCCAAAAUUGUAACUUCAGAAAGGGGAAGUACAUAAAAAUGAGAAAUCUUGUUAAAACGGAAUUUAAAAGAAGCAACCCAAAAAAAUAAAAAUUGCAGAUAUAAUGUAUGUACAUGUUAUUAAAGUCUCAGAAUAAUCAUAUAUUAUGUAUCCAAAAGAAAUCCCUCAGAAACCAAGAAUUAAAGGACCACACAAAAAAGGCAGCAUGACUAUAUGAUACAGUAAAGACAGCUAAUUGGGGUAAAAAGAAAUCCCUCAAACAGCGGAGCUUAUGUGGAACAAUGAGGAAAAUAGAAAAGAUCAUAAACUUCAGCAUUUCAAAUGGUAACUCAUAUUACAGCAGGCCAAAAAGAUCAUAAGGAACAACACACCACAGACAUAAAAAAGUAGUAAUAAAAUCUUUCUUUUCCAAACACGCUAGUGUUAGAUACAGAAGUUCUGCCAGAGAAUUUGUAGGGUUGAUCGUCAUGGUACACCAUAAGACUGCUUAUGAAAGACAAAUACUAAGUUAUGUGCAUGGGGGAAGGAACCCUAACUGCUCUCACUUAGUUCUGAUUUCUAGAUCAGCUACUACUGCUCAAGAAGAUCUAGUAGCUCUUAUGGCUAGUUCAAUGAAAGUGUCAGCUGAGUACUCAACAGCAGUAGAGAAAUGAGGAGAAUCUUUGCAGUUAUAAAUAAAGGAAUAGAAAACAAAGUGGAAAAUGCUUAUGCAAGUCCAUGAAAAAGCUUAAACCUUCAGUCUUAAUUACCAUGCAUUGUCAGGGCGUAGGAGGCUGUCAAUGUGAGCAUAAGGUUCAAGAUCCUUUUGCUCAUUUCAUCUUAUUACAGAAGGACCGUAUAUAUCACAGCUAUACUUAAAUAAUGAAUGUGCAGCACACAGUGAACCCGCAGAACAUGUUGCCCCAGGAUACUGUGAAACUGAGAGCACAUCUCAGGGCACAGCCUAGAUUUUGUUUGUUUAGGAAUAUUUUUUGCUGCUUGUGCAACAGAAGUUAUUAAAUAAUUUCUCACAGCUCAGGUACUUUGAAUACAUGUCUGCAUUAAUGUUUUUGCUGGUAAAGUGAAAAAUGUUGAUGGUGUGAGACUUGAAUCCCAGAAUACCCUCUUGCCUAGUAGUUAAGAAACCUCUCUGCAACACAGAUUCACAGUACCAGAGAAUAGAUCUGAAUUCUCAGUCCACUGUUUUUCAGGUGAAAUAACUGUACAGUUUUAGCAUGAAUGUAUUAAGAUACCUAUUUGAAAAUAUCCUUCAAGUAGGAGUAACCUGUAUUUGGUAUUACAAGUACUAAAGAUGCUUAGGGAUGACAGAAGUACCAAACAUUUUUGUGCCAUCAAGACCUGUACCAUUCCUGGCCAUUCUCAUGGUAGAGGAGGACUCAUUGCAGAGGCAACUGUAGAUUCCCAAGUACUGAGAACUUAGGCACCCAGAAUGGCAAUAGGGUCCCAAGGCUGUUUCAUUUAUGCAUUACCUACUCACCUGGUUCUAGUAGUUUCAGUAAUGAUAUUGUCUGUAAAACCAUCACAUUUGUGCAAUUGGGCCUGGCAGAAGCCAACUUUUAGGACACUCCUUGUAAAGCUGAUUGUUUUCAUAAUGGCUUUCUUAUCUCACGCAUCUUGAAAAAUUUCCUCCCCAUCUGGACCUUCAUCUUCUUUAAAGUUUUUUUUUUUUUUUGACUAUCCAAAAGAAGCUACAGAAGACCUAAACUACCAGUAGGAGACAGGUUUUUUUUGGGCAGAAGAUUCAAAGGAAUGACUGUGACACCAGGAAGUCCUGUACACCUCUUCAACUCCUCUUCCAAGUACCAAAACCCAAAACAACAAACAACCAACACCAACCUUGUUUCUCCCCUAAACAUAUAAUAAAAUUUGAAGUCUCUUUCUGCAAAUCUGUGUACAGCUUACUAGGGAGAACAAGAAGGUAAGAACCACAAGACAUUGGCUUAAUACACUACUAUACUAUAGCUAUAUAUAUAGCAUUCUUAUCCUACUAAUGAAAGGUAUAUCAAAAGAGACAGAAGAUACCAGUUUUUACACUAGCAUUUUUGCCUUUGAAAAAAGACCAAAAACAAAUUAGGUAGUUCAGAUGAAGAGGUCUUUUUACAGCCCAUGCCUUAUACCUCCUUCCAAAAGGAAGAAUUUCUUUUGCUUCCAAAAACUGACCUUUGGGAUAAUUCCUUAUUGCAAGUUGCAGUUUCACUUCCUCAUUUUUCUUGUCCAUGAGUCUGCCAACAGUAUUACCACCUCUGAGAUACUGAAGUCUUUGGCACAAUGAGGUGGCUGUUGUAUAAAUCUACUAUAAUUGGUCAGAAUCUCAGAUGGUAUGAGUUGCUAUAGCUCAAUCAGAGCUUUGCCAAUUUAUACUAGCAAAGAAUAUGGGUAUGUUGCUCUAGCUGCCAGAAUUCAUACUUAGUUCAUUAAAAAAAAAAUUAAGUUCCCACUAAAAUCCUUCAGGUGGAUUCUGCUGGACCAGCAGAAGCCCCCUUACUCUGCUCCAAAAUCUAAUUGCCAUCUGGAAUCAGUACCAAAUACACAAAAAUGUUAUACUGCAACAUUGACAAAGCCACCACUGCUUGGGUUUGAUUCACCACUGUUACCCGACGUCUGCAUAACUUCAAAGAAUUGAAUGGAGUUCCCUGCACUGAAUUCAGUACCCUUCUUGCCUAAUCAUUUUGUUACAACUACAUUUCAUUUUCUUUCUCCUAAGCACUUGUUUUCUAUAUCUUGAAGGAAGAAAGUACAGUAAAUGAAAAAAAAAAAAAAACAUUCUUUCCUCCUACAACUGUGAUCACCAUUUCCACCCUCCAUUUACAAAGCUAACAUAAAAGCUACCUGCUUUGCAUUUCUGACCUCCUGUGCACAUCUCACUGGUUUCUGUCAUGCUCCAGCCAUCCUCACUCAGAGUUUUUAGGUUCUUCUUAUGAGCUAUUAUUUUCAUGAAUUCAUAUUUAAGUUCUUCUUUUUUUUUUCAUUUCUCACUGAUUCCCACAUUUUGCUUUGUGAUGAACAUAAGAAACAUUGCUAAAGGAAAAGAAUAUUAGGGAGAGUCUUAGCUUUACUUAUGAAUUAGGACAGGCCAGAAAAUUUUACCCAGCCUUCAUUUUGGCAGUUCUCUGAAAAGGUACCACCCAUAUGCUUAUGUAAGGAUAGGCAACAGCAGAUAUAGCUGCUUUAGAUAAGUUUUAAAUUAUCCAAGAAAGGUAAAGGUCACAAACUGAUGGUAAAGAAGGAAACACUUACCCCUUUCCAAGGACCAGAGCUCAACAAACACUACUAAGGAGGUAAUCUCUAGAUAGAGAUGCUUUUCUUGUGGCUGCCAGCCCUUAUAUUAGGUAAGGGUCCGCCCCUCCUAGUCACACAGGUGAAUUGCUUCCACCUGUGCUCCUAGGGCUGGCUAUGCCCCUUCACGAGGUGCUCAAUAACUGCUUCAGGCCAUGACCUAAUGGUUCCCAUAGAGCUUGUCUAAGGAAGACACCCGGACUUCAAAGAUUCCAAUGCGGAAUUUGUUCUUGGUAAACAAUUUAAGCUGUUUUGUUAACCUGAUGAUACAAAACGUAAAUAGAACAAAUAGAUACUAGUGUGAAACAUCUGUACUGUUCAUCCUUAGACACUAUGUGGUGCUAAAUAUUUUUUUAAGUUACGGAUUAAGACAAGGAGAUUUUGAAAGCAUAAAGGGAAAAUGUAGUUCUGGUAGAGAUGUCAUCACACUCAACAGAGAGCAGGCUCAGACACACUGUCAACCUUUUUUAUCAUUCAAGUGCAUCAUUGUUUUGUUGCAGAAAGAGAAUAAAACUGGUGACUGACAGUGUUGAGCUGCAGUUAACACAAGAACGUUAUUUCUUUAAGUCUGUGUGUAUCCAAUGUGAGACAUGCAUCACCUGGAAAAUCACAGCUCCAAAGUCCAUCUGAGAGGUCUGAUCCAUUACACAACAAUUUUGCACCAAGUUCAUUAGAUGAGGCUCAUGUAAAUUCUAGCAAGGCCCUGACACUACUAGAGCUAACAAACAAAUUCAUUCUGUCCCUUCAGGCUACUAUGUAUGACAGCUAGAAGCUUCCAUAUCCACAGAUGUGAAUUCCCACAGCACAGGAGACACUAAGAGCAGAGCCAUGACAGAAUGUACUCCACCAGGUCUCAUUUUGUCCUGCCAUGGAAGCACUGGCAACAGGAGGAAUGUGAGGAGAGAGAAGCAAGAAUGCAACCACUCAAAACACAGUUACGUCUUGACUUCAGCCAUAUUACUCCAAGUGGCCACUGCUCAGAAACUUAGCUGAUUGAUUGCAAUGCCAUUCCAAAAAGUCAUAAGUGAAAUGAAACUACUUCUUGAUGAACCAGUGUCUUUCAAAUAAUAUCUUGCUGACUUAUUUAAGAGUCGGUAAUUCCAGCAGAGCCUCCUACUCAGCAAACUAAAUCAAGAAAUUGUAACAGUCUCUUAGAUCCAAUCUAACUUUGGUUACACAUGUUUUUUCUUCCACUGUAAUUUUUUAAUGUAUAUUUUAAGAAGAUAUUUUGUAUACUGUUUACUUCCAAGUUAUUAAUAUGAAUACAGUAUAAUUCCGACUGCCCUAAAACCAUGAGAAUAACAUAGAACAUAUCCACAGAAAUGUUAAAGAAAUAUGCUUUCUACUUGGGUGCUUUAUUUGGGUUUUAUUUGCACAUAUUCAGUAUAAUUAUAGUUUAAGUGGGCUAUUUUCCAUACCCACAUAGUCAAUGCUUUCCACAUAAAGGUUCACAUUGGCUUUAGACGCACCCACAAGCUAUUUACUUGCAUGGUAUACAUAUAAUGAUCAAGCUUGUAUCUACUUCAGCCAAAUCUAAAUGUUUUCACUUGUGCCUCUUUUGCAAACCAUUUUCUCCUGAAUAAGUUGUUUCAAGCUUAUACUAUCACUUUUAUGAAUUUUAUGAUGCAACAGAUUUCCUCUUUUGCCCAGAUAUUGACUGCAGACUCAAAUUAAGAUACAUAUUUCAAGCACUCCAAAUGUUAGAAAAGUUUACAGCAAGGUUUUAUUUUGGUUGUUUUCCCAAGUAUGGGAUGAAUAUGGACUUCACUUUCAAUUCUUUUUUUCUUUUUUCCUUAUCAUUCCAAAGUUCAGCAGAAUUUGAGUAAAACUUUUGCGUUUAGUCGGUUCAUCUAUUGGACAUCAGCAUCUUAAUUGCCAGCGAGGGUUUGAAACAGAUCUUCAAAUAUGAGAAUAGGAAAAAUAUUAAACAGUACAAGCCAGAAACUCAUUUCCCACUUACUUUUGGGUUUCUCCCACUGAAGACUUUCUCAAGCUAUUUCUAACGGAACUAUUGUAAACAUGCUCUUCUGCCUAGAUUUUCAGAUGGAAAAUAUGAUGACACUGUAAACUGCAAAACAGCAUAGUUGAGUGAGGACACCUCUGUAAUGGACAGAUUCCCAAAGAAAUGUCAUCUGCACAUAUGCCCUACCAUCUUAGAGAAAUGUCCUCCCAGGCUUGAGAAACGUUUUGGUUUGGAAUCAACCCCCCGAUGUUAUGGCCAUCUUCAAAGUGGAGCAACAGAGUAAAAUGAGCAUUUUCUCAGAGGAACACAUAAGAUCAGGAAGUUUUUCUACAUAGAGAUAUUCCCAAACAACAUGAAAAUCUUCAAAGAGGAAACACUGUGUGAUAUGAACUCCAGAGAAAAAGGAGGCGACAUACACGUACAUACACACAAUAUGAAAGCUUUCAGGGAAAACAUGCUGUCCUUAGUAAUGUGAAGGGGUUUGUUUUGAAGAAGUCACCCCCUGCUGAGGCAGUAAGUAUACACGUAUGAUUACUGAGAUGUCUAAUUAAAUUCUCCUUAUCUGAAUGCCAUCUGAACUUAACAAAGCAGAUAAUAAGUUCCAGAAACAGAUACCAUGUGGGGGGCCAAAUAAUUUUGCUUCCAAAAAUUGGAGCUUGAAAUUAGAGAUGUGUAGGUAAUAGAGAACAUGAUUUUGCUCUACUCCCACUGUCUGCACCUGAACUGUUCUUUCCGUCAGAAAAAAUCGUGGAGCUAAAGUGAAGCUAAAUGCUUGCAGGAUCAACUCCAAUUCCAUGGAAAGACCGUAAGCUACCUUCUAACUCGACUUAAAUAAGUGGAUUUCCUCCAGAUUUAUACAAAGACAAGUGGGAGUAAUAUUACAUUCUUGCACUGAUUAAACAUCAACUGCAAAGAAUCAGAAUAUGACUGAAUUUUGAUUACUUUUCAGAAAUGUAUCUAGGUUGCAAAUUAACUGAAUCAUAUAUGAAGAUGGUCCUGAGAUGUUUCUGCAUGGAGUUAACUUGUCUAUGGAAAAGCUGUUCACAGGGGAACAACAUGGCACAGGUGCCCCAGAAAUACAACCUCCUCCGUAUAGUCUGAAGACUGAGUUGUUUAAUCCUGGAGCCUCAAAGGAACUCUGUGUAGAAGUCAUCAGGUCUUCCACACUCAGCACUGCUGAAUUUUGGAGGUCUGGAGAACGUUGUACUUCCUAUGUUUCCAAAUAAGUUAACUGAAUCAUCAGUUCAAGACACAUCACAGCAUAUGAGGUGUGAUCACCUAAACAAAUUCACAGGACCUUUUAGAAAGGAAAUUAUUUUAGAAAGGAAAAGUAGAAAUUAUCUUCUGCCUGAUUCAACAUGAAAUUCAGUUUUGGGAAUCUUUGAGUUGGUUUGGUAAAUGGAAUGUAAAAAUGGGGACCAGAUGUCAGCUUAUCUAUUAGCCUGAAAUGUUAGAACUGGAGAUGAGUUUUGGGAGGACAUUUCCUGGAGGCAAGAGCAGCCCAUGGUAGCAUCAGGGCUAUAAGGGCUGGUUGAGCCCAUGCAGAUAAGCAGUCCCUUGACCCAGACAUACACUUCCUAUUACUGCGACAACUUGUCCCAUGUAAUCUUAACAGUGCUGACUUCAUACCAGCAUAUAUAUUGGU